AAGAUGUUAAAGAAGAAAAUCCAUCUAGAGCUUAAUGUUAAGAGUCUCAAAAAAGCAAAACAAGAAAAUCAAGUCAAUGACUCUGCUACUUUGCUGCCAGUUUAAGAUGUGGUAUUAAGUGCUUUAAAUUACAACUCCCUCAAGACAAGCUCUCUAGCUUCUUUAAAUUACAACUCCCUCAAGAAAAAAUCAUCGGACAAGGCAGUUGUUGAGAAAGUAGCAGCUGGAUUGGACUCUAUUAGUGCUUCCUCCCAAGGCAAUCAGGUAGACAUUCUCACACAUGGGAGGAGCAUUUAAGUCUAAGAAACUGUUGUUGCUGUCCCCACCAUCUUCCUCAGCUGGAGCAUUUAAAUCAAAAGGUGUGCAGUAAUUUUUCAUGGUGGAAGGCAGUGGUGGAAAGCUGAAGAAGAUUGUGGUGUCAUGCGUUUUUGUUCUUUUGUUCAAUUUGCUUUUUCUGUCAUUUUUAUAAGAAUGUAACUGGCCAAAAAUUCCCCUCCCACCAAUUUCAUUUUGGCCUUCCCGCCAAGUACAGAUGACAGCCUUUGUUUUACUGACUUUAUUUGACUGACAGACUUUUUUGUACAGUACUAUGAGAGAGAAUUAUUUAGAAAAUAAUAUUA